CAGUUUUCCAAGUCACAGCUCUUUCCCUUUCCCCCUCUCGGUCUCCCUUUGUGGCAGCAUGUAGCCCAGGCAGGUCUCAGACUUGUGGUAAUCCUCCUGCCUUGGUCACCAUGGAGCUGUCCAGAUGUACGUCUGUGGGAAAGACCUUCCUCGGGUAUUCUGGACUUGAUGAGCGGACUGCACAAAGAUCAUAAGAACACUUCCAACAGUCUCAGUGACUUCGAGUGUACCUUGGAGAGACGCUACAGAUCAGCAAAUGUGGAGCCACGCCAAU
rnacentral:lncRNA from 1 species